CAAGUAUGUGUUUGAUUGUAUUCUUUUGUGUAGUAUUAUCAUGAUAAAAAUCCAAGCAUGGUAUCUUACUGAGUAUUUCUUAUACUCAUAGUAUGUUAUGCUAAAUUUUCAGAUCCAUGAUCGUUUGGAUUGAUGGAAGUUAGUUGGCUUAAGCGAUGAUGGAUUAAGGACAAAGAUGUUUUGCAUCGAAAGUUUUCUUUUGUAUGUUUUGUU
rnacentral:lncRNA from 1 species